GACGAACCGUGCAAACGUUAUUCGGAAUCACUGGGCUUAAAGCGCGUGUAGGCGGGAGGGCACGUCGGUCGCUGAAAGCCCCCGGCUCAACCGGGGAAGGGGCGCCGAUACGACCGUCCUGGAGGGACGUAGGGGGAGCUGGAACUUCCGGUGGAGCGGUGAAAUGCGUUGAGAUCGGAAGGAACGCCCGUGGCGAAAGCGAGCUCCUGGACGUUUUCUGACGCUGAGACGCGAAAGCCAGGGGAGCGAACGGG
rnacentral:rRNA from 1 species